GAUUGCCCUCUCCACCACUGCCCGAGUUCAGGACUGGAGGUCAUUGUAUCCCCUCUCUUGAUCGGUGCCAGGGUUGGUGAGAGGGAUCAACAGCCACCUUCUCAGGGGGUAGCCAAUGUCCCCUGGGGUCAAAUGAAGGCAGAAAACGUGCUUCAGUGGGAAACGAACACUUAGGGCAAAACAACUUUAUUAACGGAUAAAUUAUUUACUCACCGAGAAGCCAUCGAUCCUGCACCAUGCCAGCCUCCAGCCUGUUCCCAACCAUGCUGUUGGUCAGAAUGAACGAGUCAUGCGUUGAACCAGGCCACCUUUCCACGAUGCACCAGAGUUAAAAACGACUGGACUUCUCCGCACCUGGACCACCUGUGGCAGAUAAAGAUCACCCGCUCAAGCUGUUCAGUGCAGCAUCCAAAGAGUUCCCAUAAGUAGACUAUUACCUUCAUAUUUGAGCAGAGUUGAUGUGUGUUGUAACUACAUGAAACUUAAACAAAUAAUAAUUAAUUUAAGAAAUUAGGUUCCAUUUGCAUUCACAGUCUACUUCUCAUUUUCAUUAAACUCAUUUCAGUAUCCUCAUCAUUUUCUAUUACCCCAUUAUUCAUCAUAUUAUUUAUUAUUCACUAUUCACCAUUGUAAAUAAACCACAUAUUUUACUUAA